UACGUAGGGUGCGAGCGUUAAUCGGAAUUACUGGGCGUAAAGCGUGCGCAGGCGGUCUUGCAAGUCAGAUGUGAAAGCCCCGGGCUUAACCUGGGAACUGCAUUUGUGACUGCAAGGCUGGAGUGCGGCAGAGGGGGAUGGAAUUCCGCGUGUAGCAGUGAAAUGCGUAGAUAUGCGGAGGAACACCGAUGGCGAAGGCAAUCCCCUGGGCCUGCACUGACGCUCAUGCACGAAAGCGUGGGGAGCAAACAGG
rnacentral:rRNA from 1 species